rnacentral:tRNA from 1 species
UCAUGUUUAGCUCAUUUGGUAGAGUGCUCCACUGGAAAUAGAGGUCCCUGGUUCGAUACCAGGACCAGGCA